GGAACAACAGCUUCAAAGUGUCCUCCACCCACACAGUUUGUGCUGCUAGCGUGCGGAAAUAUAAGGCGAAUUCAGCAACAGACUUCUUCCCCUGUUUUAAACUCAAUAGAAGUUCUUCCGGGUCCUUCCCACCCUCAGAAUGCUCAGAAACCUCCCGUAAAUGACUUAGGAAGAGAGACAAGGAUGACUUCAUGACUCCAAACUACCGUAGCCCAGUCUAGUGCUUUUCCUGACAGAAAUGAUACAAUGAAGGAAACACGAGCUUCAUCAUUGGGAUACAUUAGAGGUAGUUGAGACAGAAAAAGCUCACAUUGUAAGAGAAAUCCUCGACACUUGCUGGGUGAUCCGUCAAACUUCUCAGGAAGCGAGAGUCGAGGAUAAACAACGGUUGCAGAGUGCGUUGUGCAGCAGGCAGAGUUAUUAGUGGAAAACCCCUUUGGAGAUACCUGCGGGUUUGGCUGCACAGAUUUAAAAAGUUCUUCUGUGAUUGAGGUGAGCUUGCACAGCUGCUGGUGGUGACUGGUAAAUAUGGCUGCUUGUGCUGAAACAAGCUCAUGUAACUGUUGGACAGCUGCUGGAUCUAAGUUGGGCGAAGAUUUCUGUAGCAAGGAUGCCGAGGCAGGAGUGUUAAGAUCCAUAUGCAGUUUUAAUAACAGUAUAAAUAGUAAUACAAAAGUAAAAAAACAACAGAGAAAAACAAAAGGCAGGCAGUGGUUCGGUACACAGGCAGACAGUCCAGGAAGGCUAACCAAGUAAAUCUGAUAGGCAGAAGGGUAAUCCAGUAAACAGGCAAUAAAUCCACAAAACUCACAAGCAUGCUGGGAAAUACGAGAAGCAGGCUGGGAAAUACGAGAAUCAGGCAGGAGUCAAAACACAGGGAAAACAGGAUGGGUAAAUAACGCUCAGAAAUGUUGACAAGGCAAACAAGACUUCGCACUGAAUGCGAGAAAACAGGGAACUUAAAUAACCAGAGUUAAUGUGAAACAAGUGUGAGAGUAAUCAGUCUGAGUGGAGGAUUAUGGGAAAUGUAGUUCGUGAGAUGUUAAUACUCAGGGGAUGGUGACCUCUGGCAGUGUACAGGAAAGGUAGCAGGCACCGCAGGUGUAACAGCUGACGAUAUCUGUUUCUUAAAAAUAAUGGAUCUAAAAAUACAGACACUGGCACAUAUUACUACAGCUUGGCUCAGAAAACGGACAAAAAUAGUGUUUUUCGGAACAUUACUGUUUAUGUCACAGAUUUUCAGGUGUAUGUAGAACGUGACACAGUGACUGAAGGUCAGAACAUUUCACUCACCUGUAACACCAGCCGCGCUCUAAAACUGACUGCCAACAGUCACACCUUCAUCUGGUACAAGAACAAGAGACGUUUGAAUCUUCAACACUCCAGUAAUAAACUGAAUCUGAUCGCUGUCAGCAGUGAGGAUACAGGCAGAUACUCCUGUGCACUCAAAGACCUCGAAACAUUCCCUUCUGAAGAGAAACUCAUCAUUGUCAAACACGGCUAUGCUCCCAGAAACACAACAGUAUCAGUGGGAUCUGUGGAGGGUGGUGUGGUGACUUUGACCUGCAGUAGUGAUGCUAAACCACCACCCACUUACAGCUGGUUUAAGAUCACUGAUACUGCUCAGAGACAGAGCCUAGAGCACAACUUCACUGUGAUUGAUGGAAACAGAGGAUUCUUCUAUUGUGAAGCAACAAACACAAUCGGAUCUCAGAACAGCACCAUCAUACAACUGACAGGCUCAAACUUGAUGUGUGGAAUAAGAGAACUGGAAUCAUAACACUGUCAUCUCUACUGAUUCUGCUAUUUAUUUGUGGAACUCUGUGGAUAUUGACCCUGUGAACUCAAACGUCGCAGCACUGGCCGAGACCUCUGACCUGGAGGAGAGAGAAAGUUCACAUCAGGAUGAAGUUCAGUACUCAUGUGUUCAUUUCAAGCGACACGGCAAAGUUAAAAACACUCCAGCGAUUUUUGCACAGGAAGCUGAGAGCCAUUAUGCUGCCAUUAAAGUUUGAGAGCAGUGGUCUGCCACCGAGUAAAUCAGAACAACAACAACAUAUACAGUAUAUACAGUAUGUAUGUAAACACUGCUUGUGCUGUAUUAUCCUGUAACGUAUCAUUGUUUUGUGCAGUCUGUAUAUUCAUUCAAUUAUAAUUACAAUUAAAAAUCAUUUAUACAUA